AGCGCCCCCCCACUCCCCCCCCCCCGUUCCUCACCCCCUCCCUCAGGCGGGAAGCGCGCGGGGGGCGGGCGUCAGCGCGGCCCCGCUGAGGGAGCCGUGAGGGGAAGCUGCCGCCGUGAGGGGAGCUGCCGCUGGGGCAGCCCCGAGUGUUCGCCGGGAGGCUUUAAGGUGUGCCACACGGAGGUGGUUGGUCUGUGAGGCGGCUGCUGGAAGUAAGCUGUGGAGAGAAAAGGAUGCUGGAUGCAUGAAGUUCUGAUUGUCCUCAAAUGCAGAAGAACUGCUCAAAAGCGGAGGGACUGCAGGGACUGCGAGCAGCUACUGGCAUAGGUCAAUACGGCUUAAAAUUGGACGAAGGUAUCAAACAGAUGGGAAGAUUUAUGAGAAUCUCACUUCCUUUUAAAGCACUGGACAGCAGCAGCUAUGAAGAGCAGAAUGCCCAAUAUUCCAAAACACCCGAUAUUUACCAGUUGAUGCUGCUGCUUAAAUAAAAGCUUCCAACCCCUUGCAAUACUGGAUAAAUGUCUAAGUUAUUGCUUCUCAAGUAGAGGGUGGUUACUGAAGAAAACAGUCAUCUUUCCUUGCACAGAUGCAGUGAACCUGAAUCUAUCAAUUAAACACUGAAGAUUUGCUCUCUUGUAGCUUAGUUUCACUUACAGCUCUUGAAGUAUUUUCUUAGCAAAAGCUUUAGGCUAUUAUUUAAAAAAUGAUGGGCAAUUUUGCUUUCAGAUGGUUCAACCAUGAAACUCAUGAUUCAGUGUGGAAAAAAGUAUUUGCAGUAAAGAUGCAAUCAAUUUCCUCCCCAGUGCACAUUCUGCAUACAGCCAUUUUUCUGUGCGUAUCAAAAGAUCUCACCACACUACUGUAGCUAAGCAUACAUCACUGUUCCCACUGCAAACACUCAGCUCAGGAGAGCAAAACCAAAGCUAGUUGAACAUUAAAAGGGAUUUAUUUCUGUUAACUUUCUCAAACGAGAUUUUUUGUAAAUUGAUUAAACAUAUGAAACAUGACUCAAAUUCCUGCGAGCAAGAAGCUAACCAUGCAUUUGCCUGUGCAUAGCUAUUUAAAUAGCACGAAUAAUACAGGCACAUAGGAAAUUGUAUUGUAAAUUUAGCAUUAUUUCACAUUCUCAGAGACACAGCCCUCAAUGAAAAUAUGUCUUUGAGUAAACUCUGUGAUCCUUUAAAAACCAGUGCACUUUCAAGGAGCCACGUGCGCUAAGACCCGGAUGAUACUAACACUAAAAUACUCAAAAAAAAAAAUUUGGCCACUAACUGUUUCAACAUUUGCUGACAUUUACAAGGAAGAUGUGGUACCUGUCCUAUAUAUUAGGCUGAACUUCAAUAGAACUGGAGAGUCAUGUUCCCUGUCACACACACAUGCCACAGACAUAUUGUUAUACAAUUUCAUAGGCCAAAUACCUAUUUUGCUACAUAGGAAACACUAAACUAAUAAAACUGAGUCCUCUGCAAGUCAGACUGAGCCACCUCCCAAAGCUUUUCCUGUUCCUCACAACCUGCACCUGACCUUUACCACCACCACAACCAGGAGCACCCAUGACUCUCCACAGCACUGCUGCAGGAACACACUGCUCACACACCCAAUCCCUUUGCAGCGCUAGGUCACGGAACAACGACUCUAAACGAUGCAAAUCCAAAACCCUGGUGCACUAACUCACUGCACUUACUAAACAGCUUACUUAUCACUUAACAUAGGAUUCAUCUUGCUUAGCCGUAGCUAGCAUUAGAGAUCUAAUUUUAUGACAAAUAAUCGCCUGAGCUCCCCCUACAGUCCGAAAAGGAGUAGCUUCACAUACACAUCCCAUCCAAGCACAUUCUAAAUUUAGAUUAUCUGCAUUCUGGAAGUGCUGUUCUAGUGUGCACAGCCUAACCUAGCUGUGUAAACAUUCAGCUUCUACUGAACCUCACAAGUGUUUAUAUUUUAAUUGAAACAGUUAAAUGGCACUGCCUUCUGAAGACACGAACCUUCUGUCACCAAGACUUUCUUCCAGAGAAGAUCUCUAAAGUGAAAAUAACAGUCCACAUACUAACAACUUUCAAAGCGCUGCUGUAUAGCUUUCUGUUUAUAAUCCUUAACAACAUAUACCAGUCACUGCGCAUCGGAUGUCAGCAGUCCCUGGGUUAUUCACAUGAUAGUGAACCUAGUUACCAACACUACGUAUCCGAAAGGACGGGUUUAUCCCCCCUGUGCUAUGCAGCUUCACCAGCUGAUGCAACCACAGCUGUGGAUGCUAUUUAUCUGUAACACGAUAAAUUUAAAUACAGAUUUUGCAACUGCCCAACUCCAGCAUACACAACAUUAUUACUAUCUCAAGCUGUUGCUACUAUCCUGUUGACAUCCCUCAAUAGCACCAGUAUCUAAAUACUUUUAUAAGAAACCAUAUAAAACUCAACACAAGCCCUGGUGCUUGGUAAAAAGCAUCUGGCAAAUAUGUAACUAAGUUUUGACUCAUCUCACGCAGCUGUACAACCUGGACGACGCACACAUAUAAGCCAGGAAGCCAUGCCACCCGGGUUGAACGCCAGCGACUUAUCUCUUUACGACUCGGACUCCGGCUUCCUGCUCACAGAGCCCAGGGCGGAGCAGCCUCCAAAGACAUGACCCAGGCGUGCGCGGCUGCAGCCAGGGAGCUGGCAGGGAGCGGCAAAGCAAAGGCUGAGAUGAAGGGCUGACACGCAGCUCUUCUCUCGUUAGCUCCUUCUCAAGGGAGGAAAGCUUUUCACCAGGUAGCACAGGCCAAGUGCCAAAGCCGAGCUCCUUGCACCCACAAUGGCUGCUGAGUAUCCUCCCAGCCAUUUCUAUUCUUCACGUGCCUCGUUUCGGGACAGUGCUGGAACAAGUGAGAGCAUGCUGCAGCUGCCGGGAGGAAAGCAGCCAGCUCCUGGCAAUAGCUGCAUCCCACAGAGGUCUGUUUCUUCAACACAAGCAUUGAAAAACAACUGCCUACUCUGUCAGCUCCCUCCAUCCUCAUUACACAUCCCUGCCAUGCUGCCCGAAGGCUUACCCCAUCCAGGGUUAUUCCUCCAGCACUUCCAGGAUUGUUCACCUAUGGCUGUUCUGCAGGCUGCUCUCAGCAUAUGUGUACGUACGCAGAAACGACGCACACAAUGCUACCGGCAAACGUCCUAAUUACAGCCCUAAAUAAAAGGCCGAUUUGAAGUUUAAAAAGGAUGUUUUAUCAGUUGCUUCAUGUUGCUGUGGAAACAAGAUUCCAAGGGCAUGCCCAGGGAUAAGAACUGUUCUGAAAUACUGAAUUUUGUAGCUUGCAGCUAGGAGAGGGAAGGAAAAAAAAUAAUUCCCAAACAAACUGCUCUGUGAAGAUCUUCAGUCUUCUCAUUCGGUCUACAUUUAGCUCAAUCGCAGAUAUUUCCACAACAUGCUGACAUUUAUCAAGUUACAAUGCAAAUAGCUUAAACUUAUUUUUAAGACUGCUGUAAGAAAAAUAACACCAUAUUGUGAUGUAGUGAACCAACAGUACCGUAACAGGCUGCUCACCACGAUUCCUAGGGGCAAGGGAAGGCAGCGUUAUGAGGUGUAGAUUUCUGGAGGGGGCUGCCUGGUUGGGUGCUCUGUGCUUGUUUUUUGUUGUAAACAAUCAGAUUCUUCAGAAUAAUUAGUUCCUCAUUUCAGAUGAAAAAAAUAUAUGGAGCAGCCACAGUACAUUAUUCUUUAUCCAAAAGCAAAGACUAGAAACAGGAUAAAAGCAGCCAAGUUUCAGGACAUCCAGGCAUGUGUCAUUUUUAUAACACUGAAUACACUUCUUGUCCCCCAAUUGUAAACACCUAGGGUUAAAUAGAAGUCUUUGACACUUUGUUCCACUUAUUCAUAAUAUUUUUGAAAAUAAAUAAGCAUGUUAUUCAUUAAAACGUUUUUUUAGUACUACCUUACAGAAUCAGCACUUGCUUUUAGAAGAAACAUGCACAUUUACAUCAAGGUGUAUUUGCCUUCUUUCAAUGCACCUCAGUCUAUGAAAAAACAACCAAGUUAUCCUCAGAAUUUUCAUUUUAGUUAUUGGCUUUUUCUAAAAGAUUAUCUUAGUAAUGCAACAUUUCCCAGGCUUCUCAGUUGUGAAUUCAAGUAGUAUAAUUAUUUCAUAUUACAUAAAAAAUGGGUGAUACUCAGUGGUAAAUCCAGGAUUCACAGCUGUUUCAGCAGAUUCUGUCCCCACAUCUUAAGAAUUCCCACCAAUUCUCACAAGAAAUAUGGACAGUGAUGUAUCUUGAAUGUUUAAAGGAACAGUAAAAAUAAAAAGUCUCAUUAUCAGAAUGAACAACUUUAAUUUUGAGAAGAGUCAUUAUCCCUCUCCUAUGAGGGUGGGAGGAGAGAGUACUCUUUCCUUCUGCAGCACGCAUCAGUCUGAUGAACUACAGAAACAAGGGUAUCUUAGCAUACUUCUACCUGGUUCCAUUAAAGAUUUUGUUUGACAGACUCUUAAUUCCUAUCAUGGAGGAAAUUUAACAGAUCCAUGAAAAUGGAAAACUACUUAAAUAUCAAAUUCUUGGGGAAAAAAAAUCCCAGCCUUGACACUCUAGCCGCUUUUCAAACUACAAAAAGAUUAUACAACUUUAAGAACGCAUGCAUCUCAUACUUUCUCAUCCUAUACAGAGGGGAAAAAAAGUCAAAUAUGCUGGAAUUCAGCACUUCUGAAUUAUCUGUUAGUAUGCUACAGGCACUCCCCAUUGAUUAUUAAAAAACAGCUGUACCUAUCUUCUCAAUCUUUGUGAAACUCCCCUAAGCACUAGCAGCCUAUAAGGACAGAAGAUGCCAAAAACUUGAAUUCAAAACUGAGAUACUUCAGAGUAAGUUUGGGUACAAGAAUUAUACACUGAAUUGCCAUAAGUUUGAGUGUUUAAGAAUGGACCUUUUCCCACCCCUCAUACCACUAUGAAAUACACAGACAAAGUUUUCAAGAGUAAGCCCGAAGAAACGUACAGUGGGUCCAUCUAAAUGUAGAUAUACAAUUACCUGAUUGCUGAGUUCUCCACCAUUUAUAGUGUCGGAAAAUUACCUCAAGUUAUAAAUUACAGGAUGACCUCACAUUUAUCUUAAGUCGUCUUUUUGUCAAGGAGAGAAAAGCCAAAGAACACGCACUGCUGUAGCAUACAGCUGUCAGCAGGCACUGGAAGUCACCGUCUAUUUCUCCCCAUUUUCUCACAUCUCACGGUACAAAACAAGGCAGAACAGGAAGACUGUACAACAAGAGAACAUUAGAAGAACUAUUUAGUAAAUGUGACCCAAUUUCCAGCAGCAUUAGCUCAGCCUUACCUGAACAUUCCUAAUGCCAUGCUACUAGAAAACUUUUAUUUAACAUCUUUUGAUUUGUCUGUAUUCUAGUGCCACUGGAUAAAUUAUUGGUUUGGGGCUAAGAAAAUACAAAUCUAGGUCUUUUAGCAUGAGUCCUUUGCAACGCAACGUCAUACUUCAUAAACUCCUCAUGAAUUGACCCAUGUUCUUACCCCCGUUUUGCCCGUUGUUCAUCACAAAAUGGCCAAGUUUAAUUUUUAUGUUUUAUAAUAAAGGAUGACCUAAACAAGCUACUUUAACUCAUAUUUAUUAUAACAUUGACUGCUUUUGUCUUCUCCAAAGGGGGAGAAGAAUCUCAUUUCUAAGAGUGUCCUUUAUUUCAGCACAAGUGCGUAGCGAGAUGUGCCCACAAUCAAUACAGACUGCUCUGUCAUGUUUUUUGUUAACCACCGCAGCUGGCUGGAUUACAACAUAACUGCAUUACCUUCAGCUUUUCCACCUACUUUUUCAGUCAUCUUUCCUACAUCCUUCAGUAUCAACCCUAGCAUUAGAGGUUCCUGGCACAAUUAUGCCAACUACCCCCACCCUUCCCCAUGACAGAAGUGAAUAAUUACACUUGAGAGGUUUUACUCUGACGGUUUCUGACCUAGGACAGGUUAUCGCCCUUCACCUCACAAAUUCCUAAGGCACUUCUGUAACCUCCUGGAAGAGAUUUGUUUUCAUUCAUCUAUUCAAAUAAUUCCAUUAAGCUAAAAAGGCACAAAUUUAUUUUUCAGAAUUUGUAAAGUAAAACCUGACAGAACCUUUCAAAGCAUUAUAAUUUAAAACUAUUUACUAUGCACAUAAUAAUGACUUGAUAGUUUAAUUCCUUAUUUCACUCCUAGGAUUUUGAAAACAAGUAUCUAGUCCUGCAAAAUGGAGUCUGUUCAAUAAAUUACUUUUGCCAGAAGCUCAGUCAAUUCGUAAGCCCAGGUGUGGCAGACCAGAUGAUCUGUGUUUUGUUACCACCUAUUAAGCUAGAAGAGCAGCAAUUCCAGAACUACACCUUAACAUUAGCGUUAGAAAAAUAUUAGCUGUAUUUCACCCAACAUUUUGUCUGUACUGUUUCAUUAAAGCAGUCAUUUAACUUCAUGGUGUUCUGAUGAAUCUUAGUUGCUCCAGGAAACCCAUCACUUCUUCUCAUGGGAAUCAGUUCUGGGUAAAACUGUUAGAGCUCGACAGCAUCUCAGACAACCUAAAGGCAAAGGGAAUUAAAAGGAGCCACUGUGGCUCACUCUUCUCUUUGUGCCUGACAAUCCUGCCCCUUUCUUGCUGUUUCUUUGUGCCAAAUCAGAGACCUGAAGCACCUCAAAGCCAAGCAGCUUAACAAUAGGAAGAUCAAAGCAGUCCUUUACCAGUGUAUUCCUGUUCCCUUCCUGUGCCAGCACUAGCACUCACGUGGCUUUGCAUUUGUCACAUCAACUCGCUGUUUUUUUUUUUGUGUGUGUGUGUGUGUGUGUGUUGUUGUUGCUGUUUUUAAAGUAACUUUUCAGCCAAAUCAGGUUUUGAACACUGCUCACAGCAGCUGCGCAAGCACCAGCACAAGGGAGGAGGAAGGAAUUCCAUGACCUGAGGCAGGGCAGGAAAGGCUGCCCCUUCAGAAGCAGCACAACCGUAGAUCAGCGUAAGUCAAUCAUGGAAACCACAGCUUCAGCUUCUAGCCAGGGCUGUCAUAAAAACCCAGCCUCCACACGCCAGCCAGUGAGGUGCCGACUUCCUCAUCCGUGCUUACAGCUUCACGGAGAUGCAGCAAAAAGCAGCCACGGAGAGAAGACAGGUCAGUUACAUAACAGGGCCAGAGCCUCCAGAACAACAACAACAAAGCCAGUGCAGAGCAGGCACUAUAAAUAUUUGCAGAAAAUAUUUCCCCUCCUUCCUAGAGAGGAGGAGGGCACUACCAAGCAGCUGGGAGUGGUGAUAGUAGCAACAAAUUCCCCAACCGCAUUUACUCUUUCACCUAACCAGGUUCUAAUUUGACUUAUAUCCCAAAUACUCUCCCUAAAAUCAGCUUGAGGAGAAGGAAAAAGAUGCAAGAUUCACACAAUUACUUUAUUUUUCAGAAAUAUUAUUUGAUUCCACAUAUUAUAAAAUUUCAGAAGGGAAUUCACAGUACUUCACCCCAGAAAGAAGCAACAAGAAAAAUAUGUAUUUAAAAAAAAAAAAUAUCACUCAAAAUCAUCUGUGCAUACCUAGAAGCACAGGUUUUCCUAAACCCAUAGAAAUGAAAGUAUCACAAAGCACUAAAUAAAGUAAGCUUGUGUUUGCUGUCCUGCCAUGGUUAGUUCAGUCUCCAUUUGCAAAACAAAACACAAAACCACUAGCACUGAGUGUGCAUGUCACUACUACCAGAAAUUACUUUCCUUCACACCUUACUGUGCAUUUUUUUGCAUGUUUUUUUCCCCAUCUUUUUAAAAAGACAUGCGGGCUGUAAACCCUUACCCCUCAAACAUAUUGUUUUGUUUUGUUCAGCGUAUCUGCACGAAGAUGUCUUGGAUACUGUAAGUAAAACCAAGGUAUUUCACAAUCACGAAACACUCAGAAAAAAUCCAACGUAAAGGUCAGUCUGAAUGUCACUUGGGGUACUUUGCACCAUCCGAAAACCAACAACAUUGGCCAAUUCGGGACUGAAGCAGUUUGGGGAGUACUGAUCCGCGGUGCUCGGACAGCUUCCCGUUUUACUCAGCCCACACUGGCGAUAUUUGGCAGAGGAACCACCCGCCCUCCAAACAAACAAGAAGGUACUGCAGUGACAGCUGCUGAUUUUAAGGAAAACUGCAAAAUGAAGUAAUUACAUAUUAUAAACUGUGAGCCUAAUUGCAAGUCGUUGGUAGUUAAAACAUACCCACAACAGAGACGAACACUUUCUACCGUGUAACAAAAACUCUUAUUUACAUUCUAAUCACCUCUGAGUACUUCACCCUUAUGAAAAUUCGGUUAAAAUACAAAAGAAUAGCUUCCAAGAGAUGCGACUUUUCCCGUAACAGAACUUGGGUUAUUCUGAGUUUAGGCACUGCUAGGCAAGACAAGCAUACAGCUGUGCUAAGAACCGGACUGUCAGGGACAUUCUGCGCAAACCCAGCAGCAUGUUCCUGCUGCAGCCUUCCUGCCAGCCCCACGGAGACGCAGAGGGUGGGUUUAGGUUAGAUACAAGGAAGAAAUUGUUCGCUCUGAGAGUGGUGAGGCUCUGCAACUGGCUCCCCAGAGAAGCUGUGGCUGCCCCAUCCCUGAAGAGCCCAAGGCCAGGCUGGACGGGCCUUUGGGACACCUGGUGUGGUGGGAGGUGUCCUGCCCAUGGCAGGGGGCUGGGGAAGGUGGGCAUUAAGGUCCCUUCCUGCCCAAACCAUGCAGUGAUUCCAAAAUUAGCUCCCUCCUGAAAAGGGGAUUUGUUCGGAAGCAAAAAACUCUAAUAACUGACCUAACAAUGAAGGGAAUCUAGCUUUUACACAGACGAAUCACCCGAAACAAACUACACGUUGCUCCAUUUCACAAACACUGUUAAUUUCAUUUUGCAACAUAUUAAAAAAAAAAAGAAAGGUAAUUCUAAAAUACACUGGUGCCACCACAUGCUGCAUUUGAGCAAUGUGGAAAAUCAAAACUUAAGUAUCAUUAAAAUCAGUUAAUUUUUUUUCAGAUGUUAUUUGAAGAAUUCCUAAAAUACUUCACUUUAAGUGCAAGUAAAAGUGUUUUCUUGCAAGACAACAUCCAGCUUCAUCCACUAGUAGUGUGUGCUUUCAGCUCAGCACAAGGCUAACCACGCACGGAGCUGCUCCAGGGCAGGCAGCCAUCGGGUCAAGGAUCGCGGUCGCUGCUGAGGCCACAUCUGCAAUACUGCAUCACGUUUCGCUCUCCCCCAGUACUGGAGCAAGUCCAGCAGAAAACCAAUAGGAUGCAAAGGGGCUGAAGGACACGACAUACAAGAAAAAAUGAGGAAAUUGGGUUUAAAAAAAAAAAGGAGGGAGGGGAAGGUGGCGGGCUGUCUUAAGCUACACAAAGGGAUAUUGCAGAGAAAAACUGAUCCAGACUCUUCUCAGAGGUUAGAAAGUAAGAAGGACAGACACCAAUAGUCACAAGGUGCAUCAAGGGAAAUUCUCACAUUUAUAAGCGCAAACGUUUCACCAGGCAGUUGGUUAAACACAAGGAGUUGCCCAGAGAACUUGUGGAAUUCCCAUCCCUGGAGAUUUUGGAAACACUGAGCGGACAGCUUGAGCUGCUUGAUCUUAUUCUGAAGUCGGCCCUGCUCUAAGCAGGAGGUUGAACUAAAUGACCUCAAGAAGUCCCGUCCAACCUGCACUAUUCUGUGAACAAUUCCACAGCAAGAUGCCAAAAUAUUAUUAAAUAUCAAAUUGAUCAGUUAAUUUCCUUUCUAGAUCACUGCUGAAAGCUAUGACAAAGCAUCAUUUUUUAAAAAAAUCACUUUGUUGGCCAAGUACUGGUUUCCAGCUGGGGCUGAGCUGCACACCUCGACUGGCAGCACCAGCCCUUCCUCCAGGCCGCCACCUUGCUGUCCUGCAGGGACAUGUUUCUGUCCACGAGAGCUACCAACGGAUCCAUCCAUGAAACCAGGGCAUCUGGCACGGCUCUUCUCACGUGUGACCUCCUGACCUGGUCUCUUCCUCAGCAGAGCAGCAUGUAGUAUUUCUUAGCUCUAGCAAAAUACCAGUGUUUAAGAAACAUGAAGAACCUUUCCAUCUUUAAGACCUCUACCAUCUGUCAGACUCGAUGGAAGGCAGGCAGCAGGUUUAAGAGCCGUAUGUAGGGGUGCAGGAGACAGACUGACGCAACCACAUGCAGUUACUGUGAACACAUAAGCCGUAUUUCCUUAAUACAUCGUGCUAAAAAACCCACAAGUUAUCUGUUUCUGUGGGCUGAACCACGCCACGUUAAGAAAACAUGAAUUCAUUUAUGAAAUGCAAGCGUCCCUGAGCUGCACUCUCCAACUCUCAGGCCAGUAUCCCAUUACUUUGGGCAGAGAGGAGAAGUUGCAACCUCUCACCAUAAACCUUCCAGACAGCCCUGAUAGGAGCAGAGAACAAGCAGCUGCUGCCCCGGCCCCGCUGCCUGCCUGUGGUGCCACUGGGGUGAGCAAGGAGAGCAGCUCCAAUGCUCCUUCUUGUCUCCGGGUUAAGCCAGCGCUGGAGGCUGGGGUGACUGAAGGGAAAUGCUUACCUGCCUUCUCCCCAGAGGGAACAAGCUGAUAACCAGCCACCAAUUACAUUCCCUAAUUCUCUACUCUGAUCCUUGCACUAACGAGGAUGAAUUAUGGUUGGCGGACUUGUAUCAGCUCUGUCUGCCUUAUCACGCAGACCAGAAUGCGCUAAUUAACAGGUAUCGACACCUACGUGCAACCUGCGCUCCCUAGAAGUGCUUAUAAACAAGACACAAAGCCAUCCUCACUCCAUCAUUACAGUGUACCCUCUCCAGAUCAAAGGACUAAUACACAAAAAAAAUUUCAGGCUGCCCCUUGCCACUAAGCGGUCGCCCCCAAAUCACCAAUCUGCCCCUCACAGAGGGAUGGCAUAUGCUACCUUUUUGUCUGAUCUGGACAGUCUUGAAAGAAAAUAUUAAACAUCUCACAACACAAUAAAAUUCAGGUUGAUUUGAACUUCAAGAUCAUUUUCUUCCAACUGCAUUCACCUUUAUUAUUUAUAUGCAGGAUUUGCAGCAGUGAUAACACUUUGCGUUCACAUAAGCCUGAUAACAAAAAGGGCUUCAAAAAACCAGAACAUAAAACAGAACAUCCUUAUCAUAUUCCCAUUAACCAUUUCUUUCCAGAAGUGACUUGUUGUAAACCGUCAAGUGUUCGUCUUGCCAAGUUACCACCAGCCAAACGGAUGAAGAACAAUACACACUGGAAAUACAAGGCUCAAUACAAUCCCAUUUUUAUCACUGUUUCAGCGUGUUUAAAAUACAGCCUGCUAACAGGCCUCCUUGAAAAAAAUGGGGAGGAAGAAGCAGCUUCAGAAACCUUUCACAGUUUGUGUUUGAGUUCUGAAACUUUCAGUCUGAAAGUCAUUUCUAGCUGACUCUCAGGUCGAUAAUCCCCUACCACUGGAAGAAAGGGAACGUCACAAGAACUUCACACCUAAACCCCUGAAAACAACUCUUAAGCAAAAGAAAAGAAGAAGAAAAAAAAUAAAUACAUUUGCAUGUAUGCGGAUAAAUUAAUUUAGAGCAACAAACAUAACAGUAUGACUAAAUAAUUGCUCAAAGAAUGUCCUGCAGUCCUAGAAAGUGCUGAGGAUUUCAGCUGAGGCUUGGUUUGCACUGUGCUCAUUCCCUAGUCCCACAUGCAAAAACACUGAAAGCAAAAAGAAACAGUUCAGAAAGGGAUGCUCGCAUGGAUAUGCACAUAACCACUUCACCCCCAGCAGCAAAAGUGCUGAGUAAGAUGCAAGCCUCCACCAAAGGAUGAACAUUUUUGGCAGAGUUUAACUGGAGGACAUUAAAGUGGGGGGUUGCCUGAUAAUAUGCUGUUCUGCUGACAAACUGCAACCACAGCACAACAGUAAAUGCAUUGCUCUGUUAAGGUUUUUUAUUUAUUUUUUAACUGCAAACCCAAUUAGGUUAAAAAUGACUGCAAUGGAGAAAAUGGAGAGAAAUCCUUGAACGCCUUUAAGGGUUUUCAAAUCCAGAUGAGAGAACGUUCACGUGAAGUGUAUUCAGUCAACAUUUCCCUCUGUUUCCUGUGCUGUUAUUUUAGGUUUUGAUCAGUAUUUGUCAAACAUUAUUCAGUGCUGCAAAAUCAAAAUGGAAGGCUGACUGUAACAGCAGUAUCCUAAGAAUACUUCAUUUGCCCUUUUUUGCAGUAAUACAAUUAAAGUAUUUUUAUUUUGUUAUAAACUCCCUAAUUCAAUAAUGCAGAAAUAUGCACGUUAGGAAAAACAAGGAAGAGAGUGAAGGAUUUUAAGAGUUAAGUCACUUGUUUUCCACCUUGUGCCUUACAGCACAAUGCACUUGUAAGUAACGAGCAUCUCCCCAGUCACACACAUUAGCUGAAGCUCUAAAAGAAAGCCAUUAAGGCCUGCUUUGCUGUCCUUCGUUUAAGUGUACAGAUUUAAAUGGAUUUUACACUAGCGGGAAAUGUCUCCACCUGCACCCUGACAGCUUGCCCUCUACCACCCCCCACCCCAAAGGGAGACGCUUCUGCAGAUGCUCACUGCAUUAGCAAUCAAAGCAAGGUAAGAAGCAGGCAGCAUUAAUCUGCACAAGCUAUACCCCGCUGAUCUGUAAGUAAAGCUACUUAAUCAUAGUAGCUUGUGUGCUAUGCACUACAGCACAUUACAGUUGCUAUGGCAUUUAGCUAGAACAUGUGCAUCCAACACUUUCCUUAUCGAGUACACAGCAUAAACUGAGACUUUGUUCCCUGUCAUUUCACACCCAAGGCAGAAGAUCAAUAAUCAAGAGCACAGCACAUCAAAUUUUGUAUUUCCAAUUAGUAUCUCUAGAGGAGAAAAUGCAGGAACCAAAUACAUAUUUCAACCACGCUGGAAAUUUGUAUUUUUAAACAACUACAUGCAAUGUCCAAAGCAGACACGAUUUAUUACAGUAAGUUUUUAACUUGCAGAUAACCUUCUGCAGUUUGGGGAAAAAAACAGUUUCAGUACCAGAACUGAGCAACAUAUGAUUUGGAGGGGAAGAAAGUGACCCCAUUUUCCCUGGAUCUGCUCACCAGCAUAGUGAUGCCAAAAAAGGGCAUCCACCGCCGUCGUGCUGCUUCUUGCAAUCUGUGAUCGGUGGUGAAAUACUUCAGCUUUCACAUGAUGCCUGUGUUACCGCUUUCUAACACCCCGUUGAUACGAACGGGACGGUGCACAGCACGCAUAUCGAAAGCUCCCGUGUACUUUCCUAGAUCAGACUGCAAGUGUAAACCAGUGCAGUUAGCACCGAAGUUAUCUGCGCUGGCUUAGCUGUGCUAGCUUGGGUGAUAAAGGACACAAUAACAACAUUUGUACCACAAGCUUCAACAAUGCAAGUUUUGGACUGGACAUGUUGUUGUGACUUCUAACGCUAAACCAAUAAUAAGUUUAUUUUUACCCCAUAAACAGCAUUUUUGAUUAACACCUUGGAGGUUGUUCCCACAACAGAAAAGUGAAGGCCACAACUCAGAACUUUCUAACAGAGGCUUAUCUCUCAGCUAAGCUCGGGCCUAGAUGAAAGCUUCCAUUCUGAAAGGCAGGAUGACUUCAUCUCAAUAGUCCAUCACAAUUCAGUGACUAUAUACAAAAACCUAUAGCUAUAAAAAUCUGCAACAUAUAGCUGAAGGCUGUGAAGAGCCUUUGUUAAGAAAUGUACUGGUUUACAAAAGAUUAAACAUCAGAGAGAGAAAUUAAUGCUGAUACAGCUUUCAUAAAGUCAUGGCCCAUAAACCUCAUUUAGCACCUCAAAAAAUGUGCCGAAAAAACAGCAGCAGUGUUAGAACAAAGUUGGUAGAGCAACAUCAGAAAAAGUUUUCCAUCUGAAUCCCUUCAGUUAUUGCAGAUAUAAGUUUCUUUAACUACUGAGGAGGACGGAAUGAGAAACCCUAGGCGAGGUCACUGCGCACACCAGGCAUCACCCAGUCACUAGAUACGCUAUCUCGCAGCAGCAUCUCAGCUCACCCCAGCGCAUCUAGGCUACUAAAAAAAAAAAAAAAAAAAAGCCACCACCAUCUCACUACGUUCUUUAGAAUUUGGCAGCUCAUCCAUUUAGCUCCCUAAGGCUGAUGUUAACCGAAGCAAACGCCCGGUUGCUUGUUAGCGGGACUCAGCACAAGUCCUGGUGAUAUAAAAUACCCAAGAGGGGCCGAGGAGCGGUUCCACCUGCCCGCGGGUGCCCGCACACAACGCCCGGGCAGGCCGGGCGGAGCACUCCCUGCGAGGCGCCGGGCAGGGACAGCACGCCCAGACCCCUUUUUUUUGGGGGGGACCAGGCCGCCGGGCAACCCCAGGAAGGGCACAAGGCGAGGUGCGGGACCCCAGCAGCACCCUCCGGCCCGCCCAGCCCCGCGCCCUCCCUCACGGCCGCGGUCCCCUCACGGAACCGGGAACCGAAGCGCGGGGCCGGGCCCGGCCGCGCUCAGGCGGGCGGGGAGCGGGAGGAGG